rnacentral:rRNA from 1 species
GACUCUUAGCGGUGGAUCACUCAGCUCGUGCGUCGAUGAAGAACGCAGCUAGCUGCGAGAAUUAAUGUGAAUUGCAGGUUCCUGAGGUUUUCUUAAAUUAAAAAAAAAUCAAGUUUAAUAAAUGUUGAAAGUUUACAGAAUUCCUACUUGUGUGCCU